GUAUGAGAACCCACAUCUGUGAUUCUGCUUUGCAUUCCACUUUGCAAGCCACUUACUGCUCAUUAGCAAGUGUCCACUUACCCAGCAAAAGAACUGUGGCCCAUGGUCAAUACACCCUUCAUCUGACACUGUUUUGUUCAUACUCACUAGCCUCACCCAGGAAAAUGGACCAUUGCAGGGUCACAUGAAAAGACCAAUGGGUAGAUACCACAGAAAGAUCAUAAGCCAAACCAUUCCUUCCCCCUUUAUCAGGGAAGAAAUGAGAGACACAGAGUAGGAGUACUCUGGGAAGUUCUACAGUCCAGAUAGAAUGGAAAAUGUAGGUAAAACUAAAUGCCUACAGCAGGACUUCUAGAAAUGUCACCCUCACAGUACAAGUGACUCACAGAAUUGACUCUUCACUGGAUGUGGUCCUGUCUGCACAUAACCUCUGGAACCACUGCCGCCCACACGGGCCAGUGAUGGGAGACAUCUCCAGUGUGCCGAAGACACAGCACAGAGAAGGUAGUGAGCUUAGUCUUGGAGGAGAUUAUCAAGGCCGAGAAUUAGCUCUAGGACUACCCUAUCUAUAGACUUCCUAUUGUAAGAGAUAGUAAGCACCAUUAUUUAAGCCCCUUUUAAUUGCAUAUUGUGUUUUUUGAGAUAAAAAUUGUCUGCUGCUGUGGUAGCCAGCCUUCAGGAUGGACUGCAAUGAUCCUCACCUCCCAGGAUUUACAUCUUUUUACAGUCAGGAUAUAAUCAGGAUUUGCCUUUGUGACUAAUAGAAUAUGGCAGAAAUAUAAAGUAUGGCUUCCAAGGCUAGCCUCUAAAGUUCUGCCUUGAUCUCUCUUGGAUUACUUGUUCUGGGACAAACUAGCUGCCAUGUCAUGAGGAUACUCAAUCAGCCUUGUGGAGAGGCCUUCUUGGACAGGAACCAACCAGCCAGCACCAACUUGCCAGCAUGUUAGUGAGCAACCUGGGAAACUGAUCCUCAGUCCCAGUCAGGCCAUCUGAUAACUACAGAUCUAGCUGUCAGCUGACUGCAACCUCCUCAGAGACUCUAAUCCAAAACAUACAACCCGAACUGCUCUUGAAUUUCUGACUCACAGAAACUUUGAGACCUUCAGCCAUAAGUUUUGGAAAGAUUUGUUACAGGGUAAUUGCUACCUAAUAGAAUAUAUAUCCUUCAAUACCAGAAAAACAUGCUAAAGUCACCAGGGUCCUCAGAGUUGAAACUAUUGGUUUGGGCUUGGGAAUUAUCUAACUUGGGAGUUUAUCUAAAGAUAAAAUACAACCCUUCAUUUGUUGAACACCAUUCAAAAGGAUAAGAGAAAAAAAGAGUAGAGCAAGGAAUUUGUUGAGGAACCUGGAAGAGAUUAUAUGGAAGUCCUUGGAAUUUUGAAGGGUGUGGUUUGAAGAUGGGGGGUGGGUUCACUGUAUUUCUCCAUAUACCUGUGUCCACCCUCGAAUUUUGAUAACACUGGACAAGAAUGUUAGACUCUGUACGUAGCAAAAGGUCAUAUUUGGUAAAAUGAAACCAUAGAAACUAA